rnacentral:rRNA from 1 species
UACAGAGGUCCCAAGCGUUGUUCGGAUUCACUGGGCGUAAAGGGUGCGUAGGUGGCCGGGUAAGUCUGACGUGAAAUCUCCGAGCCUAACUCGGAAACUGCAUCGGAUACUAUCCGGCUUGAGGGUUGGAGGGGGGGACUGGAAUACUUGGUGUAGCAGUGAAAUGCGUAGAUAUCAAGUGGAACACCAGUGGCGAAGGCGAGUCCCUGGACAACUCCUGACACUGAGGCACGAAAGCUAGGGGAGCAAACAGG